GGGUCAGCGACUUAUAUUCUGUAGCAAGGUUAACCGUAUAGGGGAGCCGCAGGGAAACCGAGUCUUAACUGGGCGUUAAGUUGCAGGGUAUAGACCCGAAACCCGGUGAUCUAGCCAUGGGCAGGUUGAAGGUUGGGUAACACUAACUGGAGGACCGAACCGACUAAUGUUGAAAAAUUAGCGGAUGACUUGUGGCUGGGGGUGAAAGGCCAAUCAAACCGGGAGAUAGCUGGUUCUCCCCGAAAGCUAUUUAGGUAGCGCCUCGUGAACUCAUCUUCGGGGGUAGAGCACUGUUUCGGCUAGGGGGUCAUCCCGACUUACCAACCCGAUGCAAACUACGAAUACCGAAGAAUGUUAUCACGGGAGACACACGGCGGGUGCUAACGUCCGUCGUGAAGAGGGAAACAACCCAGACCGCCAGCUAAGGUCCCAAAGUCAUGGUUAAGUGGGAAACGAUGUGGGAAGGCCCAGACAGCCAGGAUGUUGGCUUAGAAGCAGCCAUCAUUUAAAGAAAGCGUAAUAGCUCACUGGUCGAGUCGGCCUGCGCGGAAGAUGUAACGGGGCUAAACCAUGCACCGAAG
rnacentral:rRNA from 1 species